GGGGCCGGUGCGAGUGAGGAGAAGCUCUGCGUCCGCCGCGACUUCUCAUUGGCUCUCUGCCCCGCAGCCUACAUUGAACCCGCCGAUUGGCCGCAGCUGGGUCCGCGCUGCCUUGUGAGGAUGGACAUCUGAGGCUUUGUGACGCGAAGCUAGGCACUUGGGCCCGACGCGCGGUUUGAACAGUGCUUGAGAAGCCGUGAAGAAGCGCCUCGCGCCCAGCGGCUUCUUCGCUGACGAAGUGCUGCGGUCUGCGUGCGUCACGGCUGCGCGGAAUAGUGUGGAGGAGUCCUGGCCAGUAGGUCUGGAUGAGGAGCCUGCCUCCGGGCGGUUUGGGACCCUCACCUGCAGGGGCGAAAGAGGCCUGUUUUCUUUCGCCCCGGAGCUAGGACGGGCUCACUUUGGACUUAGAACUUUAUGGGGUGGAAGACAGCGGGGGCUGCCUGAGCUUGGAGACCAGAGGUAUCUGACCCCAUGUAUGGUUUGGCCUGAGCCGUUGAGAACGGAGGUGGAGAGAGUUGAAAUAAAAUGGGCAUCCACAUACAGUUA